CAGAGCCAACAGGAUGCCACGUGG
rnacentral:siRNA from 1 species